GACGAACGCUGGCGGCGUGCUUAACACAUGCAAGUCGAACGGUAAGGCCCUUCGGGGUACACGAGUGGCGAACGGGUGAGUAACACGUGGGUGAUCUGCCCUGCACUUCGGGAUAAGCCUGGGAAACUGGGUCUAAUACCGGAUAGGACUCCUGGCUUCAUGGUUGGGGGUGGAAAGCUUUUGCGGUGUGGGAUGGGCCCGCGGCCUAUCAGCUUGUUGGUGGGGUAAUGGCCUACCAAGGCGACGACGGGUAGCCGGCCUGAGAGGGUGACCGGGAACACUGGGACGGGGAUACGGCCCAGACGCCUACGGGAGGCAGCAGUGGGGAAUAUUGCACAAUGGGCGCAAGCCUGAUGCAGCGACGCCGCGUGAGGGAUGACGGCCUUCGGGUUGUAAACCUCUUUCAGCUAUGACGAAGCGCAAGUGACGGUAGUAGCAGAAGAAGGACCGGCCAACUACGUGCCAGCCGCCGCAGUAA
rnacentral:rRNA from 1 species